GAGAGCAUUAGUAGGAGGAGGUGAAGAAUUGCCAUUAUGUAUAGCCAGAGUGGACUGGCUCUAUAGUUUGUAGGAAAUAAAUGGAUGCCUCAGCUGCUGAUCCCAGCUGCUAGCUAGCUGGUGCUCACAUCACAUGAACAGUGCACAAGAAAACCAAAAAGCAUAAGUAGCACCUCAUUGGAAGUCCUGGCGCAGACAACAAAGGCUGCAAGUGAAAGGGACAUAUUUGGAGUAAUAAGACACAGUCAGCUUACCCCUUCCUGUGCUUCCUGAAAUGAAAUUUGUUCCUAACUAUUGCAACAACAUUCCAGGACUGUGAGAGCACAGUAACCACAGCCCAUACACCCAAUCUGGAUUUGAAACACCCUGCAUGGCACGUUCAGCAAAAAGGGAUCAUCAUUCAGAAGGAUUUUUAGAAAAUUUUAAAAAAUGACAAAAGCAUUUAUCAUGUAAUCACUGAAAAACUUAAAAUGCAAAGAGGAAAAAUUUCAGAUGAGAAGAUUUUUCAUAAAAUAAAAUGUGUGCUGAAAUAGGCAGCUUUAAUCAGUACAGAGGUGAUGCCUGAAAGCUAAGAAUUGACUAACAGUUUAAGUGAAAUAUCA